rnacentral:rRNA from 1 species
UACAGAGACUGCAGGCGUUAUUCGGAUUCACUGGGCGUAAAGGGUGCGCAGGCGGCCGAGUGUGUGAGGCGUGAAAGCCCGGGGCUUAACCCCGGAAUUGCACCUCAAACUACACGGCUAGAGCAUUGGAGAGGGUAGCAGAAUUCAUGGUGUAGCAGUGAAAUGCGUAGAUAUCAUGAGGAAUACCAGAGGCGAAGGCGGCUACCUGGACAAUUGCUGACGCUCAGGCACGAAAGCGUGGGGAGCAAAAGGG